rnacentral:rRNA from 1 species
UACGUAGGCAGCAAGCGUUGUUCGGAGUUACUGGGCGUAAAGAGUGUGUAGGCUGUUCUCUAAGUUUGGUGUGAAAUUUCCCGGCUUAACCGGGAGGGUGCGCCGAAAACUGGAGGGCUCGAGUAUGGGAGAGGAAAGCGGAAUUCCUGGUGUAGCGGUGAAAUGCGUAGAUAUCAGGAGGAACACCUGCGGUGUAGACGGCUUUCUGGACCAUCACUGACGCUGAGACACGAAAGCGUGGGGAGCAAACAGG